rnacentral:rRNA from 1 species
AACGUAGGUCACAAGCGUUGUCCGGAAUUACUGGGUGUAAAGGGAGCGCAGGCGGGAGAACAAGUUGGAAGUGAAAUCCAUGGGCUCAACCCGUGAACUGCUUUCAAAACUGUUUUUCUUGAGUAGUGCAGAGGUAGGCGGAAUUCCCGGUGUAGCGGUGGAAUGCGUAGAUAUCGGGAGGAACACCAGUGGCGAAGGCGGCCUACUGGGCACCAACUGACGCUGAGGCUCGAAAGUGUGGGUAGCAAACAGG